rnacentral:lncRNA from 1 species
CACGAAUCAAAGCAUCAAUAUUGAUUCUUUCUUGUUCAAUUCUCAAAGCUUUUGAAGGAGGUGGUUGGACAAGUUGCUCUACGGUUGAUUGUGUUGGUUGUCCAACUUCAACGAUAUUUGAAACAUUAAUAUCUAUUGAAGUUGGUGAAACAAGUGAAGGUUGUGCUUCUUCAUCAUCUCUCUCUUUUCUCUUAAAGUAAAAGUCAAUCAUUUUCUUCUUCUUCAUUUUUCAAGCUAAUAAAAUAAACAAUUUGAGUAAAACAAUAAAGUUUAAAUAAAACAAUAGAAUGUGCAAAUAAAAAAUGAAUUAUAUAGUAAAGUUAUCACUAGUGGAACAAAAUUGAUUAUAAUAACACAAUACAUGACUUUGAUUAUAACUUCGAAGUUCU